UACGAAGGGGGCUAGCGUUGUUCGGAAUUACUGGGCGUAAAGCGUGCGCAGGCGGCUUCUCAAGUCAGUGGUGAAAGCCCGGAGCUCAACUCCGGAAUUGCCAUUGAAACUGUGGAGCUUGAGGACGAGAGAGGUGAGUGGAAUUCCCAGUGUAGAGGUGAAAUUCGUAGAUAUUGGGAAGAACACCGGUGGCGAAGGCGGCUCACUGGCUCGUUUCUGACGCUCAGGCACGAUAGCGUGGGGAUCAAACAGGG
rnacentral:rRNA from 1 species